GGAUGAACGCUGGCGGCGUGCCUAAUACAUGCAAGUCGAGCGAACAGACGAGGGGCUUGCUCCUCUGACGUUAGCGGCGGACGGGUGAGUAACACGUGGAUAACCUACCUAUAAGACUGGGAUAACUUCGGGAAACCGGAGCUAAUACCGGAUAAUAUAUUGAACCGCAUGGUUCAAUAGUGAAAGACGGUUUUGCUGUCCCUUAUAGAUGGAUCCGCGCCGCAUUAGCUAGUUGGUAAGGUAACGGCUUACCAAGGCAACGAUGCGUAGCCGACCUGAGAGGGUGAUCGGCCACACUGGAACUGAGACACGGUCCAGACUCCUACGGGAGGCAGCAGUAGGGAAUCUUCCGCAAUGGGCGAAAGCUUGACGGAGCAACGCCGCGUGAGUGAUGAAGGUCUUCGGAUCGUAAAACUCUGUUAUUAGGGAAGAACAAAUGUGUAAGUAACUAUGCACGUCUUGACGGUACCUAAUCAGAAAGCCACGGCUAACUACGUG
rnacentral:rRNA from 1 species